UACAGAGGUCCCAAGCGUUGUUCGGAUUCACUGGGCGUAAAGGGUGCGUAGGUGGCCAGGUAAGUUUGGUGUGAAAGCUCGGAGCUUAACUCCGAAAAGUCAUUGAAUACUAUCUGGCUGGAGGGUCGGAGGGGAGACUGGAAUUCUCGGUGUAGCAGUGAAAUGCGUAGAUAUCGAGAGGAACACCAGUGGCGAAGGCGAGUCUCUGGACGACUCCUGACACUGAGGCGCGAAAGCUAGGGGAGCAAACGGG
rnacentral:rRNA from 1 species